rnacentral:rRNA from 1 species
GUCUGGCCUGCCCACUGAGUUUUGAAGGGCCGCGGUAUUUUGACCGUGCAAAGGUAGCAUAAUCAUUAGUCUUUUAAUUGUGGGCUGGAAUGAAUGGUUGGACGAGAAGUGAACUGUCUUUUCUGUAAAUUUUGAAUUUUACUUUUAAGUGAAAAGGCUUAAAUAAUUUUGAGGGACGAUAAGACCCUAUAAAACUUUACAUCAAUAGGAAUAUUCUUAGGGUUGAAUUAGAAAUUUGUUUAUUUCGUAGUUGUUUUGUUGGGGCGACAAGAAUAUAAGGAACUAGUAACUGUUUAGGAAACAAAAUAGGAAUCUUUAGUUUAAUUGAUCCUUUAUUAGGGAUUAUAAGAUCAAGUUACUUUAGGGAUAACAGCGUAAUUUUCUCUGAGAGUUCUUAUCGCUGAGAUUAGUUGCGACCUCGAUGUUGAAUUAAAGUUUCUCCCAGAUGUAGGAGUUUGGGUAGAGGGUCUGUUCGACCUU